CAGGCUGCAACCCGCCCUGCAUGAAGUCGGAAUUGCUAGUAAUCGCGGAUCAGCAUGCCGCGGUGAAUACGUUCCCGGGCCUUGUACACACCGCCCGUCACACCAUGGGAGCCGGUAAUACCCGAAGUCAGUAGUCCAACCUCGUGAGGACGCUGCCGAAGGUAGGAUUGGCGACUGGGGUGAAGUCGUAACAAGGUAGC
rnacentral:rRNA from 1 species